GCAUGAAGCCCCCCUCAAGAUGAGAUUUCCCAACUUCGGUUAUAAGAUCCCUCAAAGAUGAUGAGGUUAAUAGGUUCGAGGUGGAAGCAUGGUGACAUGUGGAGCUGACGAAUACUAAUCGAUCGAAGACUUAAUCAAAA
rnacentral:rRNA from 1 species